AUGGUGAUCAAGACCCAAAAUGGACAAGUUCUGAAAAAAGACAAGGAGGUCAUUGCUAGCCUACUCGAUACAACCGUAAGAACUGUUGAGAGAAUAUGGGAAAGAGCUCUUAAACAGAUUGAAAAAGGGGAGAAAGUUGAUGUCUCAAAUCAAAAACCAGGUAGAGUUGGCCGCAAGCGGAAAGAUUUGGAUCUGUCGAGGGUGGUGACAAUCCCAUUGAACAGAAGGAGAACAUUGCGAGGUCUGUCAAAGGCAUUGGGUGUAAGCUGCAUGACCUUACACUCAAGGUUCGAGUGGGGUCAUUUGAGGCGUCACAGCAAUAAGUUGAGGCCCCACUUAAACCUAUCCAACAUUGUAAAGAGAUUGAAAUGGUGCUUGGCUAUGUGUGAAGAUUAUUGGUCUGCGACACGGGAAUUAGACAACAUAGCCUACAUGGAUGAAAAGUGGUUCAACAUGACUGGGGAGGUGAACAACUACUAUUUGCUUCCCGAAGAACCCGACCCCUUGCGCACCUUGCAUCAUAAGGAUAGCAUCGCCAAGGUGAUGUUUCUCGCAGCCGUGGCUAAACCAAGAUACGGCAAAGGUGGUGAGGUCACUUUUGAU
rnacentral:rRNA from 1 species